GAUGAAGAACGCAGCGAAAUGCGAUAAGUAAUGUGAAUUGCAGAAUUCAGUGAAUCAUCGAAUCUUUGAACGCACAUUGCGCCCGCCAGUAUUCUGGCGGGCAUGCCUGUUCGAGCGUCAUUUCAACCAUCAAGCCCUGCUUGCGUUGGGGUCCUGCGGCUGCCCGCAGGCCCUGAAAACCAGUGGCGGGCUCGCUAGUCACACCGAGCGCAGUAAUACAUCUCGCUUUGGGCGUGCGGCGGGUUCUUGCCGUUAAACACCCCCUUUUUACCAAGGUUGACCUCGGAUCAGGUAGUAAUACCCGCUGAACUUAAGCAUAUCAAUAAGCGGAGGA
rnacentral:misc_RNA from 1 species